rfam:Stegodyphus mimosarum contig87078, whole genome shotgun sequence.
GCCUUCGUGGUGUAAUGGUCAGCACACUGAGCCGGUAUUUCAGAGGUCCGUGGUUCGAUCCCCGGCGAUGGCA